UUUGAAUUCAUUUCCUUUUUUCCCUCAAGGAGUGGUUAAUUUUUGCAGGCAUGCACCUAAAGGCUUCCCAGAGACUAGGAGUCUGUCAAGGGAGGUUGUUGGUCCAGAAUCCACACAGGUUUAGCUCCACAAUUCUCAGCCUAACUUAGGCUCCAGAAAACUCUGACACACUUCCUCUGUUCAAGUGUGGGGCAGCCACGUCAGCACUCGUCCUUGGCAAGGAAGGGGUCUGCAGAAGGAGGUAGCAAUGUCCUGAUGCAGAACAAAGAGGGAAGAGGAUCCUGCCAGCCACUGAUGUGCUUCCAUCCCUGUUUUUGUUGCUACAGAGCCUGGAGUCCAGUGGUACUAGAAGCAAACCACAGCACAGCUGGAAGAGGCACAAUGUGAGAAAUCCAUGGAUACAGGCAGUCCUGCACAGCAGUGCAGUGUGAGCAUGGUGCUGACAUUCCCCACAGUGGAGGCGGCAUCCAGACAUGCUGGAAACAGAUCACACCCCAUUUUCUUGAUUGACCUUUUUACAUGGCUUCCUGCAGCCCAACCACCACUGAGCAUCUCAGUGGAGAAGGACCAGAUCAGCUAACCAGACAGAAUUGUUCCAUUAUUUAUGAGUGGUGCAUGGCAGCAGUGCUGAAAUAUUCAGAAGUCCAAAACCUCAUUUUGGAAAAAUGUUUGGAAUUUUGUGAAUUAGCAGGAAGAAGUUGGGGUGUUGCAACUUCAUAUUUAGCUUUAAAAAAGAGGUGCAUGAAAAAAGAUCUGCACAACAACAUCCUCAACCAUUAAAAAUAGUUUUCUUUUUCAUAUCCUAAUGUGAGUAUAUUAUUCCAUGUGAAAAAAAAGAACACCUAUUUCCAUUUCUCUUUAUAGUAUAUGUACUUCUUCAGCUUUAGGAUUUUAAGAGGUUAUAACUUAACUUGUAACAUUAAAUUCUCUUUCUUCAAGUAAGAAGAGUCAAAGUC
rnacentral:lncRNA from 1 species